rnacentral:lncRNA from 1 species
GCACAACAUCAUCAACAAUUCAACAACUAAAAACAUCGAUAACACCAACAAUUUCCACAUUGAUAGCUUUCAACAUCAAUGUUUUCACCCAAUAACGACGAUCUCAGCUACCCAAAGACCUGAUCCAAACCCGUCACCAUGCGAACAAUAUCUUCGACCCGAUCAAGCUCGACCAGUUUCAACCCGACCUCAAUCCGAUGCUCAUGUGCAUCACGAGCAUCCCAUGCGGAUUUUAGGCAAAGAAAGGACGAGAAGCUUCUAGAAGAUUGCUUAGUUGGCUCAUCCAACAUUCAAAUCCGUGAAUCUCGAGAUAACGGUACAAGGUUGGUACAUAUUGGGAUGAUUUUGAUUGGUUUGAGCGAGAUGGUUCUAUUUACCCCAUUUUCUAUUGGCUUUCUUCCAAAAUCUGUUGAAGAUAAUCCAAAUGGGUACCCUUGUUGAUAAAACCCUAGGCCAUAGGAGGAUUUGAAUUUCAAAUCUCAAAAUAUCCUAUUUUAAAAAUCCCCGAUUUACCCUCAAUUCGUCUUCUGUAUAAGGACCCCUUGGGUCAUUGUUUCACGGGGGAAAUUUUUCUCUCUUCUUCCCUUUUGGAUUGGAAAUUCGGGCAUAAAAAAAUUUGGGUUGGAAAAUUUGAGAGGAAAGAUAAGAAAGAGAGAGGAGGAAGAAAGAAAAAGAAAGAAAAGUCCUAAGAAGUCCAAUCUUUCAGUGGGAAUUCUGUUGAUUUUUAGAGAAUUCGUCGACUAGGAAAGAGACUCCGACUUGACGACAAUAUUUUCUGGUGGUUGGAACCCUAUCAUCAACUCGUCGUCCCAUUUUGCUGCCCAAAAACUGAUCAGUGCUCGACUUUUUCUUUGUUGCCGUGUUGUAAUGGUCAUAGCAGUAGAGUUUCAAUUUCAAUUAUUGUGUUGUAUGUUGUUGUUUACUGUAGGGGUCUUAAAAGGACAUAGAACUGAUGCAUGUGGGAUUGUGUUUAAAGCUUACUUUACUAGUGUCAAAAUGCUUUGUUUUAAUCCAACUUUGCUCGAUGUUGGUAGUUUUGAACUUUUCUUAUUCCUUUUCAUGAAAUGUUCUAGGUGUUAGUAUCCUUGUUCUUGAGAAUUUUUCUCUGAUUCACCUUUUUUAGUUUUCGAAGAGACUUGAAAGGGGUUAGAAUCAAGGUUAGAAUCAAUUUUUUUUAUGAGGUAAUCCAUCUUUACCUUGAUGUUGACCGGUUCAAAUUUUUAUUUUGCUUCUUUUGAAACUGGAAAGGUGCGAGAAGUGAGAUUGGAACAAGUGUUGUUAACGAACCAAUUCAUAUGUUUGUUAAGAUUUAACGAGAUUGUAUGUGUCUUGACUAAUUUCAUUGGUACACCAUUUUGCAU